rnacentral:rRNA from 1 species
AGCGAACGCUGGCGGCAGGCCUAACACAUGCAAGUCGAACGAAGUCUUCGGACUUAGUGGCGGACGGGUGAGUAACACGUGGGAACGUGCCUUUAGGUUCGGAAUAACUCAGGGAAACUUGUGCUAAUACCGAAUGUGCCCUUCGGGGGAAAGAUUUAUCGCCUUUAGAGCGGCCCGCGUCUGAUUAGCUAGUUGGUGAGGUAAAGGCUCACCAAGGCUACGAUCAGUAGCUGGUCUGAGAGGAUGACCAGCCACAUUGGGACUGAGACACGGCCCAAACUCCUACGGGAGGCAGCAGUGGGGAAUCUUGCGCAAUGGGCGAAAGCCUGACGCAGCCAUGCCGCGUGGAUGAUGAAGGUCUUAGGAUUGUAAAAUCCUUUCACCGGUGAAGAUAAUGACGGUACCUGGAGAAUAAGCCCCGGCAAACUUCGUGCCAGCCGCCGCGGUAACAC